GUUGAGUGUUUGCCUACAAGAGCAAGGCAUAAAUUCCAUCCCCAACACCGCAAAACAAAACAAAUAAGGAAAUUUGUCUUCAACACAGUUGGUUUGGCAUGUGUUGGAAUGUUGCCAGUUCACCCUGUUGUACUCUUAAAGCCAGUUCUGCAGAUCAGGCAUUCAGAUGAGGGUGCUGAGGGCCUUUACUUUCAUCCCACGCCAUUACUGAGUGAGUGCCUGCAUUCUUAGCAAAGAACCAGAUUUGUUUUAAAACAUUGCGAUGCUUAACACGGUGAAACUACAUAUAACAGAGCAGAGUUAAAGUAACCUGCUUUCAUGACAUAGGAAGUAUUGUAGUUUUUGUCUUUGAUGUUUUUCAUUCUUCCAAAGAUGAAUCUUCAUGGUUAUGACUAUACUCUUUGCCACUUCCAAUCAGGGAUUAGUGGAUUAUUCCUGUCUGUUGUAUUGUUUGCUUUGACCAUGUAGGUGCACACUUUUAAUCCCAGCACUAAGGAGGUAGAGCAAGUGGACCUUUUAAGUUCAAGACCAGCCUUGUCUUAAAAGUGAGUUUCAGGCCAGCCAGGGCAACAUAGUAAGACCCUACCUUAAACAAAAAUCAAAAAAUUCAUAAUGGGUGGACAUUAUGGACUUGAUCUUGGGUUACCUGAAGAGAGACACACUUUUACCUGUCCCAGCCUAAAAUGUACAUCAUCGUCAAAUAAAGAUUAAGGGAAAUUCUAUAUACAUUUAUUAGACUUUAUUUUUAGAAGUGAGAAAACAAAACAGAAAACCCUGAAAGACAAAGACCAAAGAACUAUUCCCAGUUUUGAAGGCUGAAAGCAGUGUAUGAGGUGGUGUGCAUUUGGGAGAUGGAGGCAGGAGAAUCAGGAGUUCAAGGCCAGCCUGAGUAAUAGUACGUUUGAAUCGGCCCAGGCUUGAAAUGAGGCCCCACUUCAAACAGAUAAGCAAAUAAUAAGACACAGACAGCAAAUAAUAAACAGAUAAGCAAAUAAUAAGACACAGAUGCUACAGUAUCAAGGACAGGCUGCAGUAUGGAUCCUGAUGGAUUCUGCCCAUUUUAGGACCUGGUUAUGAUAUCUGACAAAAUUGGAGUUUACGCUCAAGAUGAUACAAAGAAAUGUCUUAAAUAUCUUACUGUGAUUAGCUUUUUUUUUUUUAAUUCAUUUUAUAUAUGUAAGUACAUCGUCACCGUUUUGAGACACACCAGAAGAGGGCAUCAGAACCCAUUACAGAUGGUUGUGAGCCACCACGUGGUUGCUGGGAAUUGAAUCCAGAAUCUCUGGAAGAGCAGUUGAUGCUCUUAAUUGCUGAGUCAUCUCUCCAGCCCUAUGACCAGCAUUAUGUUUAAGUUACCACAAGAAUAUACUCUUGUUCUGGGAGAUAUAUGUUUAAACCCUUUAAGGAUCCAUGUCACUAUAACGUGAUUCAAAAGC
ensembl:sense_intronic Gm43328 predicted gene 43328